UCGUUAAUUGCGCUUUUGGGAUUUAAUGUUUGCUUUUGGCUAGGUAAUGCAUCUAAAAUUAAUAAUCUUUACUGGCGUGAUAAAGCACGCAAUUGUGCAGCAUAUCCAAGGCGUCUGCAGGUAAAUUUUAGUUGGUAAAUAAUUGUUAUAAAUUUUUCACCGAUUGCGACCAACGCCUAAAUGAUAAAAAAUGAUAUAAACACCCAUUCUGGAUUAUUAUUUUUUUAUUCGAUGAUAAGAUAAGACACCUGUGAUGAACAGCCAUGGUGUAAUCUGAUUUCAAGUAAAAAUGGAUUCUAAUGUAAGUAGUUCCUGUUAUAGGAUGGCAGUAUUUGUGGACUUACGCCGGAGGUCUUAACAUAAUCGAAGAGCUUCUGGAUAUAACAAUUAUUAUUUUUAUGGCCUUCUCCGGAUAUUCGACCAAAGCCCAUAUCUUCACCUUCGUGGUAGCUUUGGCGUCGAUUUACACAAUAAUUUUCACAGCUUUGCACAUUCGAGGCGUUAUAAGGCGAUCCAGAUUACCGUGGUAUUGGAUCGAAUGUAUAGCGGUUUUGGUCGUUGCAGUGGCCAUAGUUGGUGUUUCGUCUCUCGUUAUGAUGGACUUCACAAGAGGAUAUGUCAUAACAGGGAUUAUGGGCUACGUAACUGCUGGAGUUUAUUUCGUGGACACGUUUGAGAGGUACAAAGUUGCUAUUACACCAGCCCCCAAAUACGCAUGGACGGUGCCAAACAUGCCAGAUUUGGAGUAGAAAACCGAUUCAGAAAAUCUCAGUAAAAAACGAAUAUCGUGCAACGACAAGUUUUGUUUCUCUAUUUUUAGGCCCUUUUGUAAUUUUAUCUAAUCUAAAGUUUAAUAACAUGCAUUCAUAUUUUAAUAAAGCGUUAAAUGCACGCGCUUUUUUGUAUUUUUAGAAAGUUUUCUAACCCAAAUUUCCUUUUCCCACCAGUGGCUUUUUUUAGAAACAACUUGAAAAUUUCUGGCCCGGUGCCAUACACUAGUUCAUUGAAAUAAAUAUUAAAGUUGAAAUGUUAUGGUUAGUUAACUAACACUUGCGAGCAUUUGCGUGUACGAUCAGCUCGGUUUUACAGCGGCGUUCAAAUUACCCGGUUUUAGGCGACCUUUGAAAAAUUAAUAUAUUUUGAUAAGAUUAAGGCGAUAAAAAUGUUGAGAUAGUGUUGUAACGGUGUGUGUGAAACAAAAUGGGGACUAUUGUUUAUGGUACUGGGCACGUUAAAACCUCACAAGGGAUAAUUAAAAUUGCAGAAGCCGUAGUUUGCUUCAUUGGUCUUAUCUUAAUAGCCAUAGAUGGAUGGUCACGGCAUUUGACAAACGCAUAUGUCGUGGGUACAGCUGUGGGCUUAGUAAUUUCUUUCCUCCUGUUGAUACUUCAUGUCACAAAAGCAGGAAGGCCUCUUCAGGGAUUCAUAGCAUUUCAAAUCUACUUUAAUGUGGUUUUAUUUAUUUACUUAUUAGUAGUGUCGGCAAUUAUACUUUCUGAAAACUACAAUGAUCGCUACAUGGCUGGAGGGAGUUUUGGAAUUAUUGCUUGUGUGUUGUAUUUAGUGGACGCAAUUGACUGCUAUAGGAUUGAUCCAUCACCACUGUUUUGUUUUGCGUAGGAUUUAAUAAUUUUGUAAAAUAAAUGAUUCGGUAAUUUUAUGUGAUAAAUAACAUGUACGUAAGAUUUUUUUAUCAGAAAGGAUGACUGCCAUCUUAUAAAAUUACCAUUAAUAAACUCCACUGUAUUAACUGUUUACCUAAAUAUAUUUAUUUUUACUAACA